UGGUUCUGGCAUCGAUGAAGAACGCAGCGAAAUGCGAUAAGUAAUGUGAAUUGCAGAAUUCAGUGAAUCAUCGAAUCUUUGAACGCACAUGGCGCCCACUGGCAAUCCGGUGGGCAUGCCUGUCCGAGCGUCAUAUAAACCACUCCAGCCACAGGUUUUUAAUCUGUACCAGCUGGCGUUGGGCCUUCUAUUUUCGGCGUCUACGCCGGGCCCCAAAAUCUCCAACCACCACUGCGUAUUUUUCGCGGUCCCGCACAGGUAGGGAGGCUAAUCAUCCUUUUAGGGUGAUUUUCCCCCCUACCGGCCGGCGUGUGUAAUCCUUCUUUUGGGCACGAGCGCUGCGAGACAACGUCACGCUUGGCAGUCCCAUGAGGGUUUUGCUGGAACAACAUGGUGCGGUGAAAGAGAAACUAGUCAAGUUAGAAAGGUUUUGCACACAUAUCUUUUCUAACACAAAAAUUGACUAAACAUGGUUUGACCUCGGAUCAGGUAGGGAUACCCGCUGA
rnacentral:misc_RNA from 1 species